rnacentral:rRNA from 1 species
UACGGAGGGUGCGAGCGUUGUCCGGAAUCACUGGGCGUAAAGGGCGCGUAGGCGGCCUGAUAAGUAGGGGGUGAAAUCCUGCGGCUUAACCGCAGGGCUGCCUUCUAAACUGUCAGGCUAGAGCACGGUAGAGGCAGAUGGAAUUCCCGGUGUAGCGGUGAAAUGCGUAGAUAUCUGGAGGAACACCGGUGGCGAAGGCGGCAUCCUGGACCGGCAUUGACGCUGAGGAGCGAAAGCCAGGGGAGCAAACGGG